UACGUAGGGUGCAAGCGUUGUCCGGAAUUAUUGGGCGUAAAGCGCUCGUAGGCGGUUCGUCGCGUCGGCUGUGAAAACCCGAGGCUCAACCUCGGGCCUGCAGUCGAUACGGGCGGACUGGAGUUCGGCAGGGGAGACUGGAAUUCCUGGUGUAGCGGUGAAAUGCGCAGAUAUCAGGAGGAACACCGGUGGCGAAGGCGGGUCUCUGGGCCGAAACUGACGCUGAGGAGCGAAAGCGUGGGGAGCAAACAGG
rnacentral:rRNA from 1 species